rnacentral:lncRNA from 1 species
UUUCACAUGCCAACUUGGAGGAAAAACAUUUUUGGAGGCUUUUGCUGAAUUUAAAAGUAUACAUACACAUUCCGUACACCGGCAGACAGGAUUGGAAAAGGAAAAAGAGCUGUUGUGUUUUAUGAUAUAUAGACAAAAAGGCAGCUGGAUUUGGAAAGAAGUUGGAGAAAAUUAUACUAAAUAAAAAUAGCAACAUUGUGGGGAGUCAUAUACACGGUGUUGGCAGCUGCAAUAUACAAGGAAAAGGAGGGGGAUUUGAUUCUAAAUUGGAGACUGCAAAAAAAGGGGCAGC